rnacentral:lncRNA from 1 species
GGGGUAAAGGAUCGGGCAGGGCUCCUCCCUGGUGUCUGCUCCUGGAGAUAAGUCCUUGAUGACUCUCUGCAGCCUCCCAUUCGGGAGAUAAAUUUCCGAUUUGGGAGGAAAUCACACACCCCGCCCCAUGCCCCAACAGAAGUUGCUACAUCUCCCAUCCCUCUGCAACGGUGGGAAGUGACUACACCCACCCUUCCCCAACCCUGGGGGAUUCCAGAAUUUGAAAGUUCAGAGCUGGAAAGAUAAACAUCACUGAGUAUCCCUCACUCCCGCAUUGUUUCUCUUCAGGAACAGAAAAGGAACAGAAAACCAGCCUGUGCGGAAAUUCAUCCAUCUGCAGACGUUGUUAAGGGAACUGCUGCUGAAAUGACGUUUGCGGGUUCCUCCCUUUCCUCUUUGUCGACACCCCACCCACCUCUUAAGAAAAAAGAAAGAAAGAAAGAAAAAGCUUUGAUUCUUAGUCCAAGGUGUGAGCCACCGUGCCCAGCCAGAGACUUCUUCAUAAAGGGCCUACUACAGGAUACCCAUGUGAGCCCCUCAGAGGAGCCACUACUGAGCACCUGCUACCCAGUGACCAUGGUGGAAAAGCAGCAGCCAUCGACAGAGAGGAUCACAGCAGCACCAGCCCCCAACACAACACAGAAGAGGGACCCGGAAAAAGAGAAACCGAAUUUCAUCUGUCCCAGGUCCCACAGGCCUAAGCCAGGUGGAGUGAGGAGGAAGGUAAGUAUUAAAUUCAAUGUAACACUGGGUUUUAAACCAAGGCUUCAGCUCUGCCCCAGAUGCCACAGGAAAAGGAAUUGGAGAUUUGUCAUAGAACAGUUGAAGGCAAGCAGUAGAGAUUUUUUUUAAUGUCUCCACAAUUUCAAACUGUUCAACAAAUUAUUCAUAAGUUUUAUGAAUCAGGGAAAACAGAUCAGGAGCUGCUGUGCACCGAGAAUCACCCUUCAAAUGGGUUUCUGUUUUAUUCCACAUCCCACAAAUGUGCUGGUAUGAAGUUGCCACUGGUAUCCUUGGUCUAAUGAAUUUCCCAGUUAGUGGAAAAGAGUUUCUCUCCAAAUCUGUUUUAUUAAUCAGAGUGAUAGUCAUGAAAAAUAAUGCUUAAGAAAAUGUGUACUUUUAACCUGUAUGAUAUAUAAGCCUUUCAGGCAUAAAGGCAAGUUCAGGUUCGCACUUGUUUUUCUACUUUUCUACCAUCUAGCCAGCGAGAGGCCACAUAGAAAGGGACGUGGAACGAGGCAUGAGAACACCAGGGUGCCAGGCUCUACCCUGUUUGGAGUCAAGGGUGAACAUUCACCUUUCUGGGUCACAUCUUCCUCAAAGAAAGUAUAUGAGUUCUCCAGGGUGUAGAGAUCAACAAGAAGCAGGCCCAGGUCUCAAACCCAGGCCUUCUGACUCCAAAAUGAGCAUCGUGCAUCUCUCUGAUGUGUGUCUCGCUUUUUCCAUCCAGUGGGAUCUGAAGGGUUGUGACACUGUCUUUUCACAUCUGCAUCCCCAGUACCUGCCAAUGUCCCUGGCAUUGAGUAGAAGCCCAGAAGAGGUUACAUGAAUGAAUACAACCACCAUGUCUUUUGCAAUCAAUCAGAAACUGUGCGCAUCAGCAUUUUCUUAAGUGUCUCCCAUGACACUCAUGGAUGAACCCCACUGAAUCUUCAAAAUAAACAUGAAAUAAAUGGAAGCAGAAAAAAUCAGAAAGGGAAGCAUGCUGUCUAUCUCUCAUGGCGUGACUGACCGCGAAUAGCAAGCAUAUCAUUGAUAACAUGCACUCAUCCACAUGCCAUGUUGCAGCCAUUUGUCUUAGGGAAGGAAAAAUUUGCUUUAAAAGCUAGGACACAUGCACACGAAUGUUCAUUGCAGCACUGUUUACAACAGCAAAGACCUGGAACCAACCCAAAUGCCCAUCAAUGAUAGACUAGAUGGGAAAACGUGGCACAUAUACACCGUGGAAUAUUAUGCAGCCACCAAAAACGGUGAGUUUGUGUCCUUUGGAGGGACAUGGAUGAACCUGGAGACCAUCAUUCUCAGCAAACUGACACAAGAACAGAAAAUGAAAUACUGCAUGUUCUCACUCAUUGGUGGGUGUUGAACAAUGAGAACACACGGUCACAGGGAGGGAAGCACUACACACUGGGGUCUGUUGGGGGGAAUAGGGGAGGGACAGCGGGGGGUGGGGAGUUGGGAAGAGAUAGCAUGGGGAGAAAUGCCAGACAUAGGUGAAAGGGAGGAAGGCAGCAAAUCACACUGCCACGUGUGUACCUAUGCAACUAUCUUGCAUGUUCUUCACAUGUACCCCAAAACCUAAAAUGCAAAAAAAAAAAAAAAAAUGGAUGAAUCUGGAGAACAUCAUCCUCAGCAAACUGACACAAGAACAGAAAAUGAAACACCGCAUAUUCUCACUCAUAGGCGGGUGAUGAAAAAUGAGAACACAUGGACACAGAAAGGGAAGUACUAAACAUUGGGGUCUAUUGGGGGGAAAAGGUGAGGGCCAGUGGGAGGGGGAGGUGGGGAGGGAUAGCCUGGGGAGAAAUGCCAAAUGUGGUUGAAGGGGAGAAGGAAAGAAAAGCACACUGCCAUGUGUGUUCCUACACAACUGUCUUGCAUGCUCUGCUCAUGUACCCCAAAACCUAAAAUCCAAUAAAAAAUAAAAAAAAAUUAAAAAAAAUAAAAAAAGCUGGCUGCCAUUGGACCCACUUUUGUUUGUUGGUUUGGUUGGUUAAUCUACUUAUUUUUAAUAUUAUUUUAAUUUUUUAAAAUUUAUUUUUAGAAGGUGGUAUCACUAUGUUGCCCAGCUUGGUCUUGAACUCUUGGGCUCAAGUGGUCCUCCUGUCUUAGACUCCCAAAGUCCUGGGAUUAUAGGCAUAAACCACCAUGCCUGGCCUGUUUGUAUUUUAAGGAGAAAAUGAUUCUUUUUCUGCUCAUGAAAGCAUGUUGGUGGGUCUUCAUAAGCUAUCAAAGGUGAGCCUAAAUAGAAAAUGAGCUGCAUAACAUAGGAACAGGAAUUUGGGAAUUGUUUCCUUACAGAAGAAGACAUAAGGGGCUGGGCGUGGUGCCUGUAAUCCCAGCCUUUAGGUACUUAGGUAGGCUGAAGUGGGCAGAUUGCUUGAGCCCAGAUUUGAGAACAGCCUGGGCAACAUAGUAAGACCUGGUCUCUACUAAAAAUAAACAAUUAGCCAAGUGGGUCGUGUGCACCUAAGGUCCCAAAUAGUAGGAAAGCUGACACAGGAGAUCACUUGAGCCUGGGAGGUUGAAGCUGCAGUGAGCUGGGAUCAUGAUACUUCACUCUAGCCUGGGCAACAGAGUGAGACCCUACUUAAAAAAAAAAAAAGGCAUAAGCGCUGUGGGGUCUCCAAGCCUUGGAGAAAAGGAAACAUGGAGACAUGCCUCCCACGGAGAAUGGAACCCAGCUACAAGGCUGUGAUCUGGAAUCUAGAAAGUAUCUGGUGAAGACGUGGUCCAGAGUGAAGGUGGGGAUGCCAUCGCCUCUGCUGAGCUGAUCUCUAAUUCCCCUCUAUGAUUCCUAAUCCUUAGUAAAGGUUCCUUAUCUGUGCACAUGUUAUUGGUGCUUUAAGGAUUUCAGGGAAAGGAAUUGUACCUACUGUUGGCAAAGCAAAUCAAAGACAGCAGCCAUCACAAUUCCCAUUCCAGGAGGGUUGACAAAUGAGUGAUGAAAACGUACCAAGAGCAGGAAGGUGAAGUGAGGAGCAAACAAGAGAACACAAGUCCUCCCGCCCCAGGAUCCUCUGAGAUUUUUGAGGAGGCUUCUGGACUUCCCAACAUGUGAAGUAGAUGAGUUACAGCUAUUUUCUUUGACUAUCCUAGCAGAGGUUGGUGGUGCCCUUGCCCUACCCACUUCAGUGAAUAACACCUACUGGCUUACAAUGAGCAAGCCACUGCAUUUUUUGGCCUGGGGCUUUUGCUUCUCACUGAAGCCUUUUUGAUGACUUCCAUUGAAAUGGGAUGGCAGAAUAGGAGAAUCAAU